AGAACGAACGCUGGCGGCAUGCCUAAUACAUGCAAGUCGAACGAACACUUCGGUGUUAGUGGCGCACGGGUGCGUAACGCGUGGGAAUCUGCCCUUGGGUUCGGAAUAACAGUUGGAAACGACUGCUAAUACCGGAUGAUAUCGAAAGAUCAAAGAUUUAUCGCCCAGGGAUGAGCCCGCGUAGGAUUAGCUAGUUGGUGAGGUAAAGGCUCACCAAGGCGACGAUCCUUAGCUGGUCUGAGAGGAUGAUCAGCCACACUGGGACUGAGACACGGCCCAGACUCCUACGGGAGGCAGCAGUAGGGAAUAUGGACAAUGGGCGCAAGCCUGAUCCAGCAAUGCCGCGUGAGUGAUGAAGGCCUUAGGGUGUAAAGCUCUUUACCGAGAUGAUAAUGACAGUAUCGGAGAAUAAGCCCCGGAUAACUCCGUAGCCAGCUAGCCGC
rnacentral:rRNA from 1 species